CGCUGGCGGCGUGCCUAAUACAUGCACGUCGAGCGAACGGACGAGAAGCUUGCUUCUCUGAUGUUAGCGGCGGGCGGGUGAGUAACACGUGGAUAACCUACCUAUAAGACUGGGAUAACUUCGGGAAACCGGAGCUAAUACCGGAUAAUAUUUUGAACCGCAUGGUUCAAAAGUGAAAGACGGUCUUGCUGUCACUUAUAGAUGGAGCCGCGCUGCAUUAGCUAGUUGGUAAGGUAACGGCUUACCAAGGCAACGAUGCAUAGCCGACCUGAGAGGGUGAUCGGCCACACUGGAACUGAGACACGGUCCAGACUCCUACGGGAGGCAGCAGUAGGGAAUCUUCCGCAAUGGGCGAAAGCCUGACGGAGCAACGCCGCGUGAGUGAUGAAGGUCUUCGGAUCGUAAAACUCUGUUAUUAGUGAAGAACAUAUGUGUAAGUAACUGUGCACAUCUUGACGGUACCUAAUCAGAAAGCCACGGCUAACUACGUG
rnacentral:rRNA from 1 species